AAGUCGUAACAAGGUCUCCGUAGGUGAACCUGCGGAGGGAUCAUUACAAGAACGCCCGGGCUUCGGCCUGGUUAUUCAUAACCCUUUGUUGUCCGACUCUGUUGCCUCCGGGGCGACCCUGCCUUCGGGCGGGGGCUCCGGGUGGACACUUCAAACUCUUGCGUAACUUUGCAGUCUGAGUAAACUUAAUUAAUAAAUUAAAACUUUUAACAACGGAUCUCUUGGUUCUGGCAUCGAUGAAGAACGCAGCGAAAUGCGAUAAGUAAUGUGAAUUGCAGAAUUCAGUGAAUCAUCGAAUCUUUGAACGCACAUUGCGCCCCCUGGUAUUCCGGGGGGCAUGCCUGUUCGAGCGUCAUUUCACCACUCAAGCCUCGCUUGGUAUUGGGCAACGCGGUCCGCCGCGUGCCUCAAAUUGUCCGGCUGGGUCUUCUGUCCCCUAAGCGUUGUGGAAACUAUUCGCUAAAGGGUGUUCGGGAGGCUACGCCGUAAAACAACCCCAUUUCUAAGGUUGACCUCGGAUCAGGUAGGGAUACCCGCUGAACUUAA
rnacentral:rRNA from 1 species